GUUUACAGCCAUGCCACCCUGAACAAGCCCGAUCCUGUCUGAUCGUGAAAGCUAAGCAGGGUCGGGCCUGGUUAGUACUUGGAUGGGAGACCACCUAGGAAGACCAGGUGCUGUAGGUG
rnacentral:rRNA from 1 species